CACCAGUGUUGUAGUGACAACCAGGGCCCUAGUUUCUCUCAGUCUGAGUCUGGCGGUUACAAGCUAAGACAUGUUUUCCCGUCUUCGCAAGCGUUUUGGGAGGGGGAACGUCGAUUAUGGAGAGACUAGAGUGAAGGAGUUUGGCCUUUCGUCUCAAAGUACAAAGACAGCACUUUUGGGGAAUGUCGAGUAAGCUCUGAGCAGUAUAUAUUGAGCUUCCUGUCAGGGGGGCUGGAGGCUUACGCUGACCAUUCUAGCAAUGGGCCACAACAACUGGAGCAUCUGAAAAGGAAUUGAAUUUCCACGAAUAUCACAAUUCCUUAAAGUCAAGAUUUCAGAACAUUAGAUUCUCCAUCCCCACUGGGAGGAUAUGAGAUCAGCUCCUCGCCAUUCUGACAAGCAAACAAAAGGGAAGGCGAAGGACCUGAAGAAGAUGGAGGAGAAUAAUGAAAGCCUCCUUUAAAAGGUAAAAAUAAUUUUAGAAACUGAAUGUCUCGCUGACUGGUGGAAUCGUCACUACAAGCAUAUUUUCGAGGAGUUGGAGACUCUGAAAUUAACUCUCUCUCCUCUAAAGAGAAACACCCUUUAAUGUCAUUUUUAACAGUAAAGCAUGUGGGAAGGGAGUCAGCGAUUCCAGAAUAGUUGUAGCAAGUCAAAGUUCGUUCUUUGAAAUAAGAACUACUUUCUCCUCACCUUGACAAGGCCAAUUCCCAAGGGGCCACAUGAAACAAGGGAGGAUCAGGUAAAUAAGCCCAGUAGGAGUCUUGGGCAGCAGCAUAGAGAAAAAUAAUUACCUGGGUGAAGAGAAGUGAAAGCAUAGCAGGAGAAGAUUGGAGGGAGUAACUGGGAGGCGGAGAGGAAGCACGCUAUCUCUUGCAGCAGAGACCAAUUCUUGAAGCUGAUCCCAAGUUGGCAACAGCGUGGUAGAUGAGCGACCAUGCAGCUGAAGCCUGGUGAAAGCAGAAGUGAGGCGCUGCUCAGAGCUGUCUGGCGUCAUCAGGAAUGAGGCACGCUCCGCUCUCAUCUUUCGCUGUCGGUUGUUGAGGGGAGACUUUCUGCUUUUCUGCCCUGGGAUUGUAUGAUCUGAUGAGGCGGUCCGGAAUCCAGACUGGUGACUCGGCAUCCUGUGGAAAGACACAUGCAUGCCCCCUUGCGGAGGAGAGAAGAACAUCUGGUCCCUUCCACGUAGAUGAAACAGCUUUCUGCAAAUCUAAGGGAUGGUGAUGUUCCCUAGGAUCGCAAUGGUGCUGUUGCAGAUCUACCUUGAGAAUCUUUUUUUCCCUUUUCUUCUUUUUCUUCCAUCUAAAUUAAAUUGGGUAUUUCUCAUUUACAUUUCAAAGGUUAUUCCCAUUCUCAUUUCCAGGCCAACAUUCCCCUAACCCCUGCCCCUACCCUUCUAUAUGGGUGUUCCCCUCCCCAUCCUCCCCCCAUUACCGCCCUCCCCCGAGGAAUCCAGUUCACUGGCGCUCCAACCUUGACAGGACCAAGGGCUUCCCUUCCACUGGUGCUCUUACUAGGCUAUUCCUUGCUACCUAUGCGGUUGGAGCCCAGGGUCAGUCCAUGUAUAGUCUUUGGGUAGUGGCUUAGUCCCUGGAAGCUCUGGUUGGUUGACACUGUUGUUCAUAUGGGGUCUCAAGCCCCUCCAGCUCUUUCGGUCCUUUCACUGAUUCCUUCAAACGGGGUCCCAUUCUCAGGUCAGUGGUUUGCUGCUGGCAUUCGCCUGUGUAUUUGCUGUAUUCUGGCUGUGUCUCUCAGCAGAGAUGUACAUCUGGUUAUUCAAAUAAUUACUUACAAAAAGAGCAUGAUAAUAAGUGAGUGGGGGAGACAUAUUUUAAUUCUCCUCCCUGUACCUUAGCCAUUUGUGUCUUUAAUAUUUGGUUAGAUCUCUCAAUAAUUGCCUGCCCUUGAGGAUCAUAUGGAAUGCCUGUAGUGUGUCUAAUAACAAAUUUAAUACAAAAGUUUGCAAAGGCUUUAGAUUGAUAAGCAGGACCAUUAUCAGUUUUCAGAUGCAGCAGGAUGGCAAGAAAUGCAAAAGAAGCAAACAGAUGCUGCUGUACAUCCUUGAAUGCUUCUCCCGUCCUGGCUGUGGCCAAAAUAACUCCAGAAAGGUAUCAACAGUAUCUUGAACAAAGGAAAAAUUUCCAAAACAUGAAACAUGAAU
rnacentral:lncRNA from 1 species